GUGUGGUCAGAGAUGGCGGAUUUAGAGUCUUUCUUCUUCACAGAGGCUUGAUGUUCUUUGAUUCUUACAGGAAGGGGUCUUGAGGUUUCGCCGAUGUACGAGUCUCCACAGUCACACUUUAUGUGGUUAACUGGUCUGGACACACUG